UUUUUUUUUUUUUUUUAUAGAUGAUAUACCUAUCAAAAAUUGUAAAGAAGAUGCUAGAGACUUAACAUUGGAUGUUGAUGGAUGCAAAAGGUUUGUGAAAGAUUGCGUUGAAGAUAUAAAGAAGAUUUUGAAGAAGCUUAAAGAAGUGGAUCUAAUCUUGUCUAUUGACAAAUCUAAAUGUGGAGUUGAUGAGAUUGUCGUAGUUGGACACUUAUAUAGGAGGUAUGGCAAAAAAUCUAACUUUAAAAAGGUUGAUCUUAUUAGUAGGAUGAAAGCAUAUAAUAGCAUCAUUAAAAUAAAAAAGUUUUAGGAACUUAUAUCUUUUAUCAAAUUCUGAUUCUUCACUUUGCUUAAAUAGCUGAGCCUUCAUACAAUCUCUUGAAAAAAAAAACUAAAUUCAAAUGGGAAAAAAAAAAAAAAAAAAAAAAAAAAAAACAACAACAACAACAACAACAAUAAUAAUAAUAAUAAUAAUAAUAAUAAUAAGGCCUAAUUAUAGAUGGUCUAAAAGAGAUUUUGAAGUCACCACCAAUCUUGAAGUAAGUUUACUAUGAUUGUGGUAGAUCAAUUAUUGUUAUUAUUGUUAUAAGUCCUAUUGCUAUUAGAUGGAGUAUUGGUCAAGAAGAUGCAAAAGCCAAGAGAUUUGCCAUGAAAUUUGGAAGAAGAAUUUUCAUGGAUAAAUAGAGAGCAUAUCCACAAGUAAAGUUGGAGCUUUUGGAAGCACUUAUAACUAUGAAAGUAGACAAAAAUUACUUAAUUGGAGCCAAUGUGGUACUAGAGAUUGAUUGCUUAUCAUUAUUAGAUAUGAUGGCCAAUUUUUCUAUUCAUGAUAUCGUCAUGCUUAGGUAAAUAUCCUAUAUUAAAUCAUUCAAUUCUAUAUUAUUAUUUAUUUUUUACAAGAAUAAUUUUGUGGCAAACAUAUUAUUUAAACCUAGAUAUAUUUAUGAAAAAGAGAUAGAAACACAAGAGAUUGUUAAAGACAAUGAAGAUGAGAACUAUGACUAUAUGCUAGCCACUAAUAGAACAAGCACAAGUGAUAAAGAUAUGGCUUUCAAAAAAGAUCUUUAUGGAAGCAAGUUAAGAGACAUUAGUAUCUAUUUAAGUACUAUGAAAAAAUAAGAAGACUGGUCAAAUAAGUCCUUCAAAGACAUCAAACACUAGUCUUAUGACUAUAUUUUGAAAAAUAAUUUCUUAUAGAAGAGGCCAAAGAGGAAAGAUGGAGUACCAUUGAGAGUGGUGGAUGAUUCAAAAACCAAGAAUCAAGUUUUAAAGGAGUUUCAUGAUAUACUUUGGACAUGUUACAAAGGAGUUUGGACCAUCUACCAUAAAAUCAAGGAGCACUAUUGAUAGAAAGACCUCUACAAAGAUGUAGUAGAAUUUGAAGCUUCUUACACUAAAUGCCAACUGUAGUCAAAAAUCAAAUUCAAAGAUGACAUGCAUCCUAUCUAUUUAUUUGUUAUGUAUUUUCAAUAGGUGAUUGAGUUGGUGGCUAUGCCAUUAGAAUUAUGGAGCAUAAAGUAGCUUGUUUUGGCAAGAAAAGAACUCUCAAAUUAUAUUGAAGGGAGAGCUUUGAUAAACAAAACUAUAAAAAGAGUGUACAGAUUUAUUGUAGAAGAUAUCUUUAGUAGAUAUGGCAACAUUGGAAGAAUGAAGGCUGAUUGAAGAGAAUUAGAUACAAGAAAGACCAAAGAUUUUUUUCAAAGAUAUGGUGUGAAAGUGAAGAUGAAAAUUCCUUAUAAUCCUCAAACAAAUUGUAAGAGUAAGAGAAGACAUCCUUCCAUCAUUAAUGCUUUUUUUAAGGCUUGCAAACAUAAAUCAAGGCAAUGGCAAAGACUUCUAUCAUUUGCUUUAUGGGCAAAUAGAACCGUUCAUUCAUAGAUAAUAUAAUAUAAAAAUAAAAUAACUAUUGCCAAAGACAAGAAAACUAGUGGCUCUUGAAAUAAGAAUAAAAACAAGAUAGGCAUUGAUAAGAGUGAAAAAGGCUUCACUCUUAAUUCUAUAUAUACUAUCCAAUUAAAAACUAUAUGGCAACAUUCUAUAGAAUCCUUUAUACAUGUCUAACUUACAAGAUAUAUAUCUAACUUGCAAGGCAUGUUUCCUACAUGUAUGCUAUAUGGCCAACUUGUACCAUAAAUUGUGAAUAUGAGUGACAUGUGGCUAAUUUAUUGGCCAGAUUUCCAACCUACUAAUCAACUACAAAUACAUAUAAAGUUAUAUUUGCACUUAUAAAGCUUUUUAGAAGUUUUUUUACAAGCCCUUAUCAAAUUUAUUUAUAUUUAUCUUCUAUCUAGUAUUUCUUAUCUAAGUGAUAAUAUAUAUUUAUAAUAAUUUUAUAUCUAGAUUAUAAUGUAUUCAAGAAAUAUAUUAAUAUUAAAAUAAAUAUAUUAUUUUUAUUAUAUUUUUUUUUAUUUAAUAAAAAUUCUCACUAAAUAUUUAUCAUUAAAAAUUUUAAAAAAUUAAAAAUUAUUUCGUAAAUUUUUAGAAAAUAAAAAGAUAUAAUCUAUUUAUAAUUUUUUAUUAUAUUAUAAAUAAAUAAUAAUUUAAAAUUUUAAAAUAUUUAUGUAUAAUUUUUUAGUUAAAAAUAUUAUAUUAAUUUUAGUUCUAAUGGUUUAAAUAAAUAAUUUUAAAUAACUCAAAUAUUAUAUUAUAUUAACUUAACUAAAGAUAACAAAUCUUUAUACAUAAUAAUUAUUAUAAUUUUUUAGUAAUAUAUAAAUAAUUCUAAAUUAAAAAUUAUAAAAGACUAACAAAAAGAAAUAUUUAUAAUUAUUGAGUUAUUAAUUUUUUUAAAAUAAAUGAUAUAUACAAGUAGUUUAUAAAUAAUAUUUUUUUUAUAGUUAUAAAAAGAAUUGGUGGAAAAAUUGACUUUAAAAAAUGAUAUAAUUAAAUUUACAACAUGACCUCAUAUGAAAGAAUAUAAAGCAAAAUCUUUUUGCAAGUACGUUAUGAUAUUUGAAAAUGAUUCUUACUCUUACCAUAGUUAAUUGUGAUAGUAUUCAAUAUAAAUCAUACUAUUUUAAAAUAGGAUUAUGAUAAAAAUAAAUUAAAAAUUAAAAAUUCACAAGAUAAUAAAAAAAAUAUGUAUAUUUAUAUAUUUUUUAGAUGAAUCAAAUAAUGAUAACUAUAAUUUUACAAUUAUUCAUAAAAUGGUUUAUAUUUGUAUCAAAUUAUUUCUUUGUAAAGAUAUUUUAUGAAUAAGAUAAGUUUUAACAAAAGUAAAAAUAUAUAUAUAUAUAUAUAUAUAUUUAAAUUAUGAAUAUAAGUAAAAUAAAAAUAAAUCUAAUAAUAGGUAUAAUGUUUUUUUUUGUUCAUUUUCUUUGAAGUAGAUGUAUGCCGGAAAUUAACAAAGACUAGUUGAGAGAUCUCACUGUUACCAUAUCAUAAAUGUUUAAUGAUUUAAAUACUCAAUAAGUCAUUGUGUUGGACUAAUAUUGCUUGAAUUCAUUUUUUCAUUAAAUAGGUAAUCACAUGUUGUAAAUUUAGAAUCUUUAUAAAUACAAAAUUGUUUUAAAAAAUUAUGCUUUAAAUCUUUCUUUAAAUGUAAAAGAAAUAACUACCAACAGUGACAUUUUUUAAUUUAAAAAGAAAUAAGAGAAAAUCUAUAACAAUACCAAAUACAUUGUAUUGUACAUUUGGGUUUUGAGGAAACCAAAAAAAUGACAUUUUUACCUGUGAAACCUUUGUCUUUAUUCUCAAUAAUAGACUUUAUAUGUUGAAUGUAUAGAAUCAGAAUUCAUCUUUAAAAAUUGAUCAACUGUUUAUUUUUGCAAACAAUUUAAGAACAUAUAUAUAUAUAUAUAUAUAUAUCUUUAACUUGAAAUAAUUAUAAAUUAAGUUUUUUACUAAAUUUAUAGAAAAUUUUACUCGGAUUUUUAUGUUCUACAUGUCGAAAUUGUACAUACAUACAUACAUACAUAUAUAUAUAUAUAUAUGUGUGUGUGUGUGUGUGUGUGUGCGUGUGUGUGUGAUUUUUUAUAACACACUUCUAGUGUGCAAUUUAUUUCAGUUUUAAUGAUAAACAUAUAAGCUAUUAUUACAGCAAUUAUUAAAACAUUACUUUAAAAUCAUUAUUUAAAUAAUAAAAAAAUCAAAAUAAUAAAAACAUACAUAGGAAAUUAGGAAGUUUCAUAACUCUUGACAAGCCUCUUAUUGAUAAGAAUAUGGAACAUUAUUUAUACCCAAAUAUACUACAAAAUAUAUUUUGUUCUAACAGAUCUGAAAUAAUUCUAUCAGGUAUGAUAUAAACAAUCAAGGAGGAUUUUUUUUUUAUUAUUUUUUUAUUUCAUUCUUAUAAUUUUGAGUAAUUACAGUUUGACUGUGUGUUUGUACAUAUAUAUAUAUAUAUAUAUAUAUUUAUAUCUGGGCACACAAUUUUUGAAAAAUUAAAUAUUGCAUGUAAAAAUGUUGUACAUUUUGCACCUACAGGCCCAUGCAUGCAAAGAACAUAUUGUGUCUUUGGAAAGCUACAACAACCCAAUACAUUCAAAUCUAGACAACUUUGGUAGGUCUCCCUUGCUGUGACCUGCAAACCUUUAACCCAACACGAAUUCUAUAAAAAGCCAGGGCUGCAGAAUGCUGCCAGCUGCAGUAUAUUAAGAAUUAUAUUUAAAAUGUAUUAUAAAAUCAAAUUUUGCUUAAAAUGAUGUUUCAGAAUAUAUUGGUCAUCCUUGCAGUACAUGUGUGGAAAAAAUAGUUUGGUGGUAUCAUUUUUGAAGUACGAUAAUGUUAAAAGAAAAGACCACAGAGCACUGUUUUAAGACCAUGUUUUGUUUGAAAAAGGAUUAGAAAAACAAUCUUUUAGAAUUCAUAAAUACAAUAAAAAGGAAAAAUAUGAAAAGAAGUUUUGCACCACAAUAAUUUGAACUUUUGUUGUUUUUUGUAUAACUAGUAAACAUUGUUAAUAUUUCUUUCAAGUUUUUGAAGUCUGGAGAAUAAGAAAAUCAAUAUCUAUUUUUAGAAAUAUCCUUUUGUAUAGUACCAAUAUCAAUGGACCUUGUGAGAGGCAUUGAUUAAAGGUUAUAUAGACCCAAAAGAAAGAACUCAAUAAAAGCUUAAAACUACACUAAUUUAUGAAUAAACAAGCUUAGAUAAAAAUAAGAUUAACCUCAUUGGAGGUUGUCCCACAUGAAUAGACAAAAUUUAUAGUUAUAUUUUUAGUUGCAAAAGAUUGGCAAUAAUAGUUUUGAGUGAAUGGUCAAGAAUAUAUUUAUAUAUAUAUAUAUAUAUAUAUAUAUAUAUAUAAAUGAAUUCACAGAGAGAGAUAGUUUUAAAUUUUGUUUUGAAUUUUCAAUAUUCUUCUUAUUUGACCUUUUUUUCAAUAAUAUGCUGUAAUAUUUUAUUUGAAGACAUAUGGAUUCAAGAAAUUUAAAAGAUCAAAAAUACAAUGAGCUCAUCUGAAACCAAUGCAGGUUUAAAGAUGCAUGUGGACUUCUUCAUAGUUUUUUUCAAAAUAUCAUUAUCCCUUUCAUUAUUACCCAAUACUACCUUUGAAGUAAGCUUGAAGAAUCAUUAAGAUAACUUUAACAAAAAUUAAUGUGAUUUUUAAAUGCAUAUAAUAUAUAAACUUCUUCAAAUGAAAAUCAUACUCAACUUUUCAAAAAUAGCAUAAUAUUUUCAGCUUUUUCAUUAAUACACUUCAAAAACAUAUAAAUGAAUAGAGGGGAAUGUUAAAUAGAUCCAUGCUUUUAUUAAAUAAACCCACUCUUGAUGAAGAAUAUGAUAAUCAUGACAAAUGUGGUUGGUUUUUAUUGGUUGUAGAUUCACUGGGGAAAUGAAUCUAAAAAUCAUUAUUUUUUUUUCAUGAUAGUUAGAAUGUGUGGGUUAAUUUAGUAUAACACUUGGGUCUACUUAACAUUCCCCUAAAUAUAGGGUAAGAAAGAAAAAAGAAACUAUCAGAAUAUAUUCGUUUCACAGAAACUUUUAAACACAGUUAUUUCAUGUCCUUGCUCAGACAUUCACCCACAAAUGUCUGUAUGUGUGAGCAAAUGCAAUGAGAGCAGUGUCGGGUUUGCCAGACCCAGUAACUCCCCACGAUCAUGAGAUCAUACCCGUGUGAACGCCAACAGGACUGGCUUCGCAGGAUACGCGCUUCAGACCAGUCAAGUGGGCCUCAGGCCUAUGCCCAUGCCCUCAGUCACCGAGCACAAGGUUUGGAUGGUGCAUGAUUCACGACCAGCCAAUGAGGCGCGAAGUAAGGGGACGAAUGAAAUCCCGUAUGAGUGUCUGUCGGAGAUUUAUGGAUGAACAUUGUUGGAAUAACCAUGCCUCGUUCUUAUUACCGCUCUUCCGCUUUCUGAGGUCACUUGGAUUCGAGGGCACCUUGCUGCACAACACGCCAUCCAGUCACCUCUUUACUACUUUUACCUUGUUCCAUUUGGGUCUAUUGUGACAUUUUUAAGGAUUUAAAGCCAUAGUUCUGCUGCAUGUGGUGAGUCUUCGGCAGGCGACAGAAGCGACUGUAAGAGGUUGGAAGACUCUUUGGGUGUGUACGUGUUUCCAACUCUGGAAAUUCAACCGACUCAGUGAAGGGUCCAAAGUUUGGUACGGCACCACCACAUAUUGAUAUGGAACUGUGUACGAUCCCAUGGAAGUAAAAGUGUAAUUAACGAAGAUAACGCUGUCACGCAGAAGUUGGUGAUAAGUUCGGUGAUGUUUUUAAUAUAAGAGAGCGAUCGAUACCACUCACCCCAAAGUGUUGGAAAUGAACCCCUCAUUGCCGAGAUAAAAUGGUGUCGACUUUGUGACACUUCAAAGCCUUGCUUAAUUAGCCCCCCCCCCACCCCCCCCCCCGUAGCCACGUACGUAAACCUCCAGAGGUGUAUGUGAUCAUCCAGAGAGAACUUCGCUUGUUUGGGUAGGUUCUGACGGACACUUCCCAAGCAAAAUGUAACCACACAUUCACUGAAUCUUAAUACGUCCUCGUUUUGAUCAAAAGCUCUCUGGUUGUGAGCCAUUGAAAUUAUAAUGAAAUUGAUUCUUGGUCUGAAGAAGUCAACUGCAUAGGGACGUAGACGUAGACGUUGUGAUAGGCCCAACUCUGGAGCGUUUCACUAUUUCAUUCUUCGACGGCCCCACGACACACCAAACCUGCGCACGAGCAGAUACACGAUUCAAAUCGCAAUUCACAUCCUCAACAUGGAACAGUUACUAACCAACAUUCACCAACACAAACACUGAGGUGAUCAACUUCCACAACGAUUCCCUUCGAAUGAACAACUCCGAUCGCCAUUCAACACAAACCCCAAUUCAGGCCCCGUAAGCUAACCACUGCCAACACCACUUGCAAAUGAACUGAAAUGGGAAACGACGCCGAAGCAAUGGAAGUCCAUGAUAAUAUUCUAUUAUGAAACCAGAAAUACCGGACAAUGCGAACGACAGGACGGGACUUCAGCCAUAGUCCUACGCAUCGCAGCAUACGCAAACAGUUCGUCGGAGCUUCAAAAGAUUAAAAUCACACAAAUUACAAGUGAGGCAACAACUACACCAAAGAAGAAAAGAACCACUCUAACCAAGUAUAACCAAAAAACCUUCACUUCCACAAAUACAGAUAACUCAUAAAAAGACAAACUUCGGGCACCUCACCAUGCGCUAACCAUCACGAUGAACAUAAAGUACUCAGCUGGUACCCUACAAAAAAAAAAGGGAGUAACCCAUGUCACCUACACUUCACCAAACAUGUUAACGAAACACAUUUCCUUUGACAAAAAGUAAUCUCCAAACGCAUCAAAAGAAAGUACCCGAUCCGUCAUUCUUAAAAUAACUUAAACUUACAACAUCGACAGUACCCCAACCAACCACUGUAAAGGUCGGGAAAGACACACUCGCAUCCAUGCAUAUCGUGACCAAAACGACCGAAACGCCCAAACACACUACACCUAGCCCGGGCUGCAACUGCUCAAACUCAAAAGUCAAACAUUGACACGACCACUCAACAAUAUCAGACUGCUCAUACCCCCACAAUGUCAAGAUGUUCGAAACCCAAGCAAAAAACCAGAUAGAGCUAAACACACCCAUCAUCCACAUCCAAAACCAAUCCACCACAUUGAACUGCUCUCACGCCUACCAUGUCACGUUGUUCGAUGCCCGUACAAUAAACCAUACACAACACACACCACACAUCAUCGUUUCAUCCACACCCACCACCACCACAAUAAUUUGCAAAUCCCCUGUUCUCCCAUCAUCUCCACAUCGCACACCACACUCAGCGAGUACAGCUGUUGCAAGGGCUUCCGCACCCUGUUCACGAAGUGCACCGAACUCAAAGUAAUACUGCAACCUUCACGGCCAAACAGGUAAACAAAAUCACAGUCUGCUGCACAAUGCACACCCGCGUUCUACCUACUCUAACUGGACAACCAAAGAACCCUCUAGGUGGUGCCCGCGUCCAAGCGUUAUCCCUUCUACCCCAUUCUCUACCUUUCCUCCUCCCCCACCCUCCCACCGGGUGGAUCCUGUCCCUGCAUCUGUACUUCCAGGUUCCCCGCCCCUCGUCACACUCCAUUUCUCUACACAUCGCGGUUUCGUCCAAGGAGCACCCCAUCCUCCUACCACUACCCAGCCCCAAGCUCCAAGUCCAGACCAAACCACAACCACAUCCCACACGCCUCUAGAGGGAUACCCUCGCGGCUGCCAUCUUCUACCAUCCGUUCAACGCUCAUCCCAGGAACAAUCCCCCUCCGCCAUUUCACGUGAACUCGGUCUUGGCUCCGCCCUCCACCGCUGCGGCCCGCCGCCUAAGCAACUGCCUCUGGCGCAGCAGCACCAACUUCCACCUUCUCAGCCUUCGUCACUUCUUCGACCCCCUCAGUGGAGCCCUCUGCCAUGCCCACCACCGCAUCUUUCACCUUCUCACCACCCUCGCCGUUCGACGACUUCUCCGCAUCGCCAUUGCGCGCUGCUUCUUCCGCCGCCUUGGACUCCUCGCCGUCUUUCAUUGACGCCUCUGCAGGAACUUCCGCCGACUUCCCGCCGUUCGACUCUCCCGACUCCACCUUCACGUCCUCCGCUUUCUCGCUCGACCCUUCCGUCGUCGCUUCUACGGUUUUCUCCACGGCAGCGACCUCCUCUCCGGGAACGUCCACGUCCAUCGCUUUGGUCUCCUCCUUGUCCUUUCCGUUCUCCUCCACUUUCUCGUCUGCUGCACCAUGNNNN
rnacentral:lncRNA from 1 species